GGAAGCGUGGCAGAGUGGUUGAAUGCACCGGUCUUGAAAACCGGCGAAGGUUUACGCCUUCCGUGAGUUCGAAUCUCACCGCUUCCGCCA
rnacentral:tRNA from 1 species